rnacentral:rRNA from 1 species
GACGAACGCUGGCGGCGUGCUUAACACAUGCAAGUCGAACGGAAAGGCCCUGCUUUUGUGGGGUGCUCGAGUGGCGAACUGGUGAGUAACACGUGAGUAACCUGCCCUUGACUUUGGGAUAACUUCAGGAAACUGGGGCUAAUACCGGAUAGGAGCUCCUGCUGCAUGGUGGGGGUUGGAAAGUUUCGGCGGUUGGGGAUGGACUCGCGGCUUAUCCGCUUGUUGGUGGGGUAGUGGCUUACCAAGGCUUUGACGGGUAGCCGGCCUGAGAGGGUGACCGGCCACAUGGGGACUGAGAUACGGCCCAGACUCCUACGGGAGGCAGCAGUGGGGAAUAUUGCACAAUGGGCGGAAGCCUGAUGCAGCGACGCCGCGUGCGGGAUGACGGCCUUCGGGUUGUAAACCGCUUUCGCCUGUGACGAAGCGUGAGUGACGGUAAUGGGUAAAGAAGCACCGGCUAACUACGUG